rnacentral:rRNA from 1 species
CCCUUAGAUGUUCUGGGCUGCACGCGCGCUACACUGAUACUUUCAGCGAGUCCACCACCUUGCCUGGGAAGGUGGGGUAACCUCUGGAAAGUGCAUCGUGAUGGGGAUCGAUUAUUGUAAUUAUUCAUCUUCAACGAGGAUUGCCUUGUAAGCGCACGUCAUCAGCGUGCAUUGAAUACGACCCUGUAUUCUGUACACACCGCCCGUCGCUCCUACCGAUUGAAGUUUUCGGUGAGUUGACAGGAGGAUUUUUUUGAAACUGGUUCGCCAGUGGAUUUUAGAUCCAAAUGCCAACGAAUCGAUGGAUUUAGAGGAAGGAGAAGUCGUAACA